rnacentral:miRNA from 1 species
CCCAGUUACCGCUUCCGCUACCGC